rnacentral:rRNA from 1 species
AAAUCCGGAAAAUCAAGGCUGAGGCGUGAUGACGAGGCACUACGGUGCUGAAGCAACAAAUGCCCUGCUUCCAGGAAAAGCCUCUAAGCAUCAGGUAACAUCAAAUCGUACCCCAAACCGACACAGGUGGUCAGGUAGAGAAUACCAAGGCGCUUGAGAGAACUCGGGUGAAGGAACUAGGCAAAAUGGUGCCGUAACUUCGGGAGAAGGCACGCUGAUACGUAGGUGAAGUCCCUUGCGGAUGGAGCUGAAAUCAGUCGAAGAUACCAGCUGGCUGCAACUGUUUAUUAAAAACACAGCACUGUGCAAACACGAAAGUGGACGUAUACGGUGUGACGCCUGCCCGGUGCCGGAAGGUUAAUUGAUGGGGUUAGCGGUAACGCGAAGCUCUUGAUCGAAGCCCCGGUAAACGGCGGCCGUAACUAUAACGGUCCUAAGGUAGCGAAAUUCCUUGUCGGGUAAGUUCCGACCUGCACGAAUGGCGUAAUGAUGGCCAGGCUGUCUCCACCCGAGACUCAGUGAAAUUGAACUCGCUGUGAAGAUGCAGUGUACCCGCGGCAAGACGGAAAGACCCCGUGAACCUUUACUAUAGCUUGACACUGAACAUUGAGCCUUGAUGUGUAGGAUAGGCUUGAUGUGUAGGAUAGGUGGGAGGCUUUGAAGUGUGGACGCCAGUCUGCAUGGAGCCGACCUUGAAAUACCACCCUUUAAUGUUUGAUGUUCUAACGUUGGCCCCUAAUCGGGGUUGCGGACAGUGUCUGGUGGGUAGUUUGACUGGGGCGGUCUCCUCCUAAAGAGUAACGGAGGAGCACGAAGGUUGGCUAAUCCUGGUCGGACAUCAGGAGGUUAGUGCAAUGGCAUAAGCCAGCUUGACUGCGAGCGUGACGGCGCGAGCAGGUGCGAAAGCAGGUCAUAGUGAUCCGGUGGUUCUGAAUGGAAGGGCCAUCGCUCAACGGAUAAAAGGUACUCCGGGGAUAACAGGCUGAUACCGGCUGGAGAACUGAGGGGGGCUGCUCCUAGUACGAGAGGACCGGAGUGGACGCAUCACUGGUGUUCGGGUUGUCAUGCCAAUGGCACUGCCCGGUAGCUAAAUGCGGAAGAGAUAAGUGCUGAAAGCAUCUAAGCACGAAACUUGCCCCGAGAUGAGUUCUCCCUGACUCCCUGAGAGUCCUGAAGGAACGUUGAAGACGACGACGUUGAUAGGCCGGGUGUGUAAGCGCAGCGAUGCGUUGAGCUAACCGGUACUAAUGAACCGUGAGGCUUAACCUU